UACGGAGGGGGCUAGCGUUGUUCGGAAUUACUGGGCGUAAAGCGCGCGUAGGCGGCUUUGUAAGUUAGAGGUGAAAGCCCGAAGCUCAACUCCGGAACUGCCUUUAAAACUGCAUCGCUUGAAUCCAGGAGAGGUGAGUGGAAUUCCGAGUGUAGAGGUGAAAUUCGUAGAUAUUCGGAAGAACACCAGUGGCGAAGGCGGCUCACUGGACUGGUAUUGACGCUGAGGUGCGAAAGCGUGGGGAGCAAACAGG
rnacentral:rRNA from 1 species